ACUCUGGAAGGCAGAGAUUUGAUGCAGCAGCCAUAGCUGAAUGAAACGCUUGUGAAUGGGGGAUUUUUUUUUAUCCCCCAAAGCCCCUUGACCUCCUUAUUCAACAUCUGGAAAAAUAGUACAGUACCAGCAGCGGGAAUGCGCUUCCCAGCACCUGGUACUGCAUUCAGUCUGCAAUUUAAUGUGGUACUAUUCUGAAGGUUUUGGCAGCUUCUCCAGGAAGAGGCAGAGAGAAUGAUCUCUGUAAAUAUUUGCCAGUGGGUACUUUCAUGCUACAAUGGAUGGAAUGAGUAGUUGCAACUGAUACCGUGUGACCUGCAAAGUCUAAACAGUUUGCUCUCUGGCCUCUUAUUGAAACAGUUCAUGGAUGCCUGUUUUGGAUGCAUUGAAUAGCAGUAAACAACCAAGCAACCAAUAAGGGAUUUGGAGACAGUUAAGAAGGUUGAAUGCCUGAAUGAGAAACGAUUGAUUAUUCCUCUUGCUGAAGGCUUAUGAAACCGUGAGAUGUAGACUUCUGCCUCUAAAUUGUAUCUCCAGCUCCAACCCUGUCUUCUUGGACAGUGCAGCUGAAUGUCUUCCUCAUUGUGUUACUUGGGCUCUGUUUCCAAAAAUCAGUCAACCAUAUAUGUGUGGGUCUAUUUCUAGACUUGAUUAUGAUCCAUUGACAUGUAUAUCUAUCCUUACAUCAUUCCCGCACUGUUUUGUCAUAUAGCCAAUUAUAGUCUCUAAGCUUAACCCAGCCCAUAUUGUGUUUCAUACAGCCUAUAAGCUAAAAAUGGCUUUUUUAUCUUUAAAGAGUUGUAUAUGGUGCACAAAGCCUUAAAUAUUUACUCUCUGGCCUUUUACAGAAAAAGUUGCUAAUUUUGUGGCAAGUCUUGAAAUAAGCUGUUAUAAUGUUGUUCUUCCAUAUCAGAUUUCCUCUGGAUAUUCUGGGUAUAUUACAUUCAUAUACAUUUUAAAAUCAUAUUGAUUUCUAAAGAAAAAAUUGCUGAGAUUUUGAAUGAUAUUACAUUGACUUUCUGAUCAGUUUGGGGAUAAUUGACAUUUUAAAAAUAUUGAAUCUUCUAGUCUGUAAACAUGAAUUAUCUCUCUAUUUACUUAGAAACUCUUUAAUUACUCUCAAAAGUGUUUUAUAGUUCUCUGUAUCCUGGUCUUACACAUAUUUUGUUAAAUUUAUCCCUAAGUAUUUUGUGUUGUUGAUAUUAUCACAUAUGGCAUUUAAAAUUUUUAUUUAUAUAUUGUUUGCUACUAUUAAAUAUAAUUGCAAUUGGGUUUUACUUAUUACAAUUUUUCCUAAAUUUGCUAAUUCUGGAAAAUUUUUUGAGUAUUUGUUAUGAUUUUCUAUGUAUGUAAUAAUGUCAUCUGAGA
ensembl:lncRNA